rnacentral:tRNA from 1 species
GGGGCUAUAGCCUAGCAUGGAUAGGGCGUCAGCCUUCGGAGCUGAAGGUCGUGGGUUCAAAUCCCACUAGCCCCG